UGGAGUGGGAGGAGAGGUGUUUUACCUUCACCGUGGCCUUAUGGGCUUUAAGUGAGGUGGGGGUAGGGGCAGGACCCACUCCCUGUAGGGUAGGGGUAGCCACCUGGGACAAUAAAAGGGAUUGCGCCAGAGUUUGGGAAAGUGAGGAGGACAUAGCUCCCAUAGCGGAGGCAAGGGCUCUCUGUAGAGAAGACGCCAUGGUGGAGUCCAACAGGGCUUGGAACUGCUCAGGCACAAUUUGUUCCUCAGGAACUCCCUGAGGAAACUCAUCAAUGUGGCCUUCAGGCCCAUCACCCUUAUCCUGCAUGGUUGCAGUUGAUG